CUGCCCGAUGGAGGGGGAUAACUACUGGAAACGGUAGCUAAUACCGCAUAACGUCGCAAGACCAAAGAGGGGGACCUUCGGGCCUCUUGCCAUCGGAUGUGCCCAGAUGGGAUUAGCUAGUAGGUGGGGUAACGGCUCACCUAGGCGACGAUCCCUAGCUGGUCUGAGAGGAUGACCAGCCACACUGGAACUGAGACACGGUCCAGACUCCUACGGGAGGCAGCAGUGGGGAAUAUUGCACAAUGGGCGCAAGCCUGAUGCAGCCAUGCCGCGUGUAUGAAGAAGGCCUUCGGGUUGUAAAGUACUUUCAGCGAGGAGGAAGGUGUUGUGGUUAAUAACCGCAGCAAUUGACGUUACUCGCAGAAGAAGCACCGGCUAACUCCGUGCCAGCAGCCGCGGUAAUACGGAGGGUGCAAGCGUUAAUCGGAAUUACUGGGCGUAAAGCGCACGCAGGCGGUCUGUCAAGUCGGAUGUGAAAUCCCCGGGCUCAACCUGGGAACUGCAUCCGA
rnacentral:rRNA from 1 species